rnacentral:rRNA from 1 species
AGUGAACGCUGGCGGUAGGCCUAACACAUGCAAGUCGAACGGCAGCACAGUAAGAGCUUGCUCUUACGGGUGGCGAGUGGCGGACGGGUGAGGAAUACAUCGGAAUCUACUUUUUCGUGGGGGAUAACGUAGGGAAACUUACGCUAAUACCGCAUACGACCUACGGGUGAAAGUAGGGGAUCUUCGGACCUUGCGCGAUUGAAUGAGCCGAUGUCGGAUUAGCUAGUUGGCGGGGUAAAGGCCCACCAAGGCGACGAUCCGUAGCUGGUCUGAGAGGAUGAUCAGCCACACUGGAACUGAGACACGGUCCAGACUCCUACGGGAGGCAGCAGUGGGGAAUAUUGGACAAUGGGCGCAAGCCUGAUCCAGCCAUACCGCGUGGGUGAAGAAGGCCUUCGGGUUGUAAAGCCCUUUUGUUGGGAAAGAAAGGCAGCAGGUUAAUACCCCGCUGUUCUGACGGUACCCAAAGAAUAAGCACCGGCUAACUUCGUG